rnacentral:rRNA from 1 species
UACGGGGGGGGCAAGCGUUGUUCGGAAUUACUGGGCGUAAAGGGCGCGUAGGCGGCCCUCUAAGUCAGACGUGAAAUCCCACGGCUUAACCGUGGAACUGCGUCUGAUACUGGCAAUCUCGAGUCCGGGAGAGGUGAGUGGAACUGCGAGUGUAGAGGUGAAAUUCGUAGAUAUUCGCAAGAACACCAGUGGCGAAGGCGGCUCACUGGCCCGGUACUGACGCUGAGGUGCGAAAGCAUGGGGAGCGAACAGG